rnacentral:lncRNA from 1 species
UUUUCUUAAACUUUUCAACAUAGAUUUUACGGUAAAAGAAUCAGAUGACCCCCUUAUGUUUGGAGCAAUUGGACAGUAACCACAUUUUUGUGGGACGUACACUAUCAGUAAUAUACAAAAUUGAAAUAUUACCUAGUGAUGUGGAAUAAACUAAGACGAAGUUUGCCAAAGUUCUGGACUCUAGUUGAAUCAUGUUAAUAAUAAAUAGUUGUCCCUAGCAUUUCUGGCUGCCCCAGCCUUAUUUGACAAAUUGAAGUAAAUAAGUUGGCUUAUCUGAAACCUAUUAGUUUAUUUUACGAGAACCAUAAUCCAAUUCUACCUUGCUUGAUUUUCUUGUCCUUUUUUUUCGGUCUUCCUCUAUCAGCAGUAGUUUAAUAUUUCUCCUGUCAUUAUGUCAUUUGAUCUAACAGGGAAAAUGCUACUCCAGACAAAGUCAAGGAAGCUCAUCGGAGAGUAAUGGUUGCAAACCAUCCUGAUGCAGGUGGUAGCCAUUACCUUGCCUCCAAAAUCAAUGAAGCUAAAGAUGUAAUGCUCGGAAAGACAAAGGGCAGCGGAUCUGCAUUCUGAUAACCUUCAAAAUGCCAAAGUCUAGCCAAACUUUGUCCAGGAGAAAACAAGUGUCCGAUCCUAUGAGGUAUCUCACUUAUAAUAAGCAAGGCAGAUGCUUGCCAACGAAUUGAGGUUUCGUUGUCGAAUAUGGGAAGACACCAAAUUGUGCCAUUCUUUGAAUAGAAACUUUAGAAUGGUUGAUAAUGACGAAAUAUCGCCUCGCUGCUACAGAUACAUGCAAGAGAAAUGGGGCAAUAUAAUUAUAUGCUUAAUAUAUCCCAUCACAUUCUUGAGUUACGGUUCAGUGGGAGAAGCUUUUUGAGCUUAAAUUUUUACCGUGUUGGAAGCUCCAAUGUUAUGGAGUGAACAAUACUUAGCUUCAAUGAGGUUUCUUAUUUCUUAUUUCGUCCAAUUUUUUUAAUUUUUUAAAUAGAAAUAAACAGAAUAUUGAAUUAGGAGAUACUUCAUAGAUUUGGUUGUGACUACAGUAACUUAAGACAUCGCACUCUUGUCAAAUAAUCAAAUUUUAUUGAUUAUUUGACUCUCAGAUACGAUAUUCUAAAAUAUUUACUCGGACCCAUUUGGAGAUCUAAGAACAUUUAAAAUAUUUGUUUAUUUUUUAAUCUAUGUAACAAAUAGUAAAAUGAAAAAAUAAAUUAUCUUUUAAAAUAUUUUUAAAUAAAAAUAAGUUAUAUUAUUUUAAUUAAAUUUUUUCUCUAUUAAAAUGAUAAUAAUUAAAAAAAAUUCUAAGAAUAAUGAAAUAAAAAAUAAUAUAAUAUUAAAUUAAAGAUUUUAAAUGCCUCUCUAAAUAAAUUUUUUAAAUGAGAUAGUAUUUUUUUUCCUUCCCUCUCUUUAAUAUUGAUGAGAAAGAAUAGUAAUUUUAUUUAAAAAAAUAAAUAAUCAACGAGAGCAUGCCACGUCAGAAUCAUAAAUUGUUUCGGAGAGUAAUGGUUGCAAACCAUCCUGAUGCAGGUGGUAGCCAUUACCUUGCCUCCAAAAUCAAUGAAGCUAAAGAUGUAAUGCUCGGAAAGACAAAGGGCAGCGGAUCUGCAUUCUGAUAACCUUCAAAAUGCCAAAGUCUAGCCAAACUUUGUCCAGGAGAAAACAAGUGUCCGAUCCUAUGAGGUAUCUCACUUAUAAUAAGCAAGGCAGAUGCUUGCCAACGAAUUGAGGUUUCGUUGUCGAAUAUGGGAAGACACCAAAUUGUGCCA